rnacentral:rRNA from 2 species
UGCCAGAACGCGGUGAUACCACCCGCACGUAUAGACGGACAAGAAUAGGCUUCGGCUUAGUGUCUUAGCAGGCGAUUCUUCCACGGCGCUCGAAGCGCGUCGUGGUAUUUCGCGUAUUGUAAUUUCAACACGAGCGGGGUCAAAUCCUUUGCAGACGACUUAGCUGUGCGAAACGGUCCUGUAAGCAGUAGAGUAGCCUUGUUGUUACGAUCUGCUGAGGGUAAGCCGUCCUUCGCCUCGAUUU